UUCAUUUUCUGCACCUACUAUUUUGAACUGUAACUAGUUGUGCAUUUUUUUUUAAGAAUUACUGGUUGUGAAUUUUCUUGGUGUUUACUGGUUGAACAUCCUGCUAUUUAAAUACCAUUGAUAAUAGUUUGAACAUGCUGCGAAUACCAUCUAAGUUAACGAAUAAAUCCAACUACAGCAAUGGUUAAUUAGUGAAGCAUUCCUACCAUGAAAUAUCCAUACAUCUGGUGAUUUUGUUGAGUGGAAGCGAGUAUGAACAGUUUAAACUUGAUAUAACUAAUGCAAGGAGUAUAUCAAAGUCUACAGCUCCUCGUUAAACUAUGGAAUGAAAUGGUCUUUAAAUUUGCGGCAUUAUAUUUAGCUUUUCUAUAGAAAUACGGUGAUUUGUUUAAAGUGUGUUUUAAAACUGAUACGUGUAGGCACAUUAAC
rnacentral:lncRNA from 1 species